rnacentral:lncRNA from 1 species
GCCCUGAUGACCAGAUGCAUAAGAUCAGGAGUGCCAAGUGGCAUGGCUUGAGGAGUGAGAUCCUGGAGGUGGGAGAAUUGCCCUCUAAUCAAUACUGCUCUGGGGGUCUUGGGCACAAACUCAUGAGUUCACAGUGAAGGCAGCUGCAUCUUCCCUCCUUCCUCUGAUGAAAGCCUGGCUUUUCCCCAUCCCUUACAACAAGAGCGAUCCAUCAAGUCAUGGACUUCUGUAAGGGAUGCCACGCUUCCUGUUAGCAGAAUGUUGGAGCAGAAACUGGACCAUGGAGGUGUGUGCCCCAUCCACCAGCAGGACUUUGGCUUUGGGCAUCUGCCAUCUCUCAGAACUAGGAUCCCGUGAUUCUAAGACUCCGAGUUUCUCUAGUCUCCUAGUGUCUUAUUUAUUGGCUGGAUCACGAGGACAUGCCCAGCUCCCAUAGCGGAGUCUAGUUCUCGCCACUUGCACCACUAAGAAUAGCUCUAAGGAGUCCAUCAGAGGUUGCCAGGAGAAGGUCAUACACACAAACAUGGGUUUACAUCCAGCUCCCCGCCCCAGUGAAUGUGCAACACCAGGUUGGAAGAGAUGUGGUCUUCACCACAGGACUUUCCAAAAUGCACCCCGGAACAGGAUGGGGGCAGUGCUCGGCUCAACGUACCAUGUUCCAACAGCUUCUUACCUACCAGGCUGCCAUAUGUUCAGGAUCGUUCUAUUGCCAGAUAAGUUGGAUGACAGCCUUAAUGGACCCAAUAGGUAACGGUCAACUCAGCUCGGAGAGCAAGAGUGUUCAUAUAUCCCCAGAUAUAUAUCCCUAACAUUCAUCUUCACCUCACCAAUUCUCAAAUCUUGUCUCUUCUUUCCUUUCUGCUACCGGUCUAAGGAUACUGCAUUCCUGGGUUGCUUCUUUGUUAUUUACCUUAUUUGUAUAAGUGGUGUUGGAUGGAAAAAUAUGCUGCAUUUUCAAAUCUGCAAAAAGACCCAAAAAACAAAAAAACGUACUCCUGGAGCACCCUGGAGUAGCCACUGGAAAAUUGACUACUCUGGAGAUUUAUUAACUCCAAACUCAAGGGCACUUAAGGAAGAACAUGUACCUAGCCGAGGUUUUGGACCAUAAGAUAACGUCGGCCACCUUCACACUUCUGCUGUCUCCGCAGAGGAUUUUGCUGGAGACUAAUUCAGGGGCUGUAGGGCAGGGUCUGGCUGCCAGCUGGUGUUGAGAUGGAGUUUUCCCUCCAGAGUAAUCAAUUAUUGUUUCCCAAGAUGAGCUCGUGGCAUGCUGCCAGCACAGUGGGUUGAAGAAUCUUGGAGCUGGAACUCUUUCCCAGAUGUAGAGGUCAUUCCAUGGAUGUGCAGUGAUGAUGAACUAGAGAUGCAGGGAGAAGAAAUAGUGACUACUGAAAGCAGGUCUUCUGUAAAGACAAGUUAUAAAACAGGUAACAACGAUAUUGCACAUAAGUUGUCAGCUGGGUGAUGCUGAAGAAACCAUAGACAGAUUUCCAGGGACCAGUGGAAGAGUAGAUCUUAGGUAAAAUCCAUUCCAAUUCCCUAAUUAAUAGGCGACAGCUUUGAUGGAGAAACUUUUACGCGCAAAACACUGCACCACUACAGAACAAUACAAAGGUUAGAACCCAAACUCUCUCCUCGAGGAAUUUACAGGACUCAGGUAACAUUCUAAGGAACUGGAGCAUAUUAACAGAUAAUAAGAAAAUGAGGUAACACGUGAUCAUGAUAAUCGCUUUUAUCUUUUUUCUUUUCUG